rnacentral:misc_RNA from 1 species
ACGUCUCCAUCGCAAAUUCGUGAGCGAGAAGUCAUGAGCAACAAGAUGUGGGGCGGCCGGUUCUCGGAGCGUCCCGACGCGAUCAUGGAGGAAAUCAACGUCUCCAUCG